rnacentral:rRNA from 1 species
CCCGCUGAACUUAAGCAUAUCAUUAAGCGGAGGAAAAGAAACCAACAGGGAUGCCCUCAGUAACGGCGAGCGAAGCGGGCAGAGCUCAAACUGAAAAUCGGGAGCUCUUGCCUGCUUUCGAUUUGUAGUCUAGCGACGCGCUAUCAGCCUUGACCCGUGCAUAAAUCCUUUGGAACAGGGCAUCACAGAGGGUGAGAACCCCGUAUUUGGACUCGGAGUUCCGUGCGUACUGAUGCGUGUUCAUACGAGUCGGGUUGCUUGGGAUUGCAGCUCUAAAUGGGUGGUAAGUUUCAUCUAAGGCUAAAUAUUGACGAGAGACCGAUAGCGAACAAGUACCGUGAGGGAAAGAUGAAAAGAACUUUGAAAAGAGAGUUAAAAAGUACUUGAAAUUGUUAAGAGGUAAGCGACUGGAAACCAGUCGUGCUGUUCACAAUCCUCGCUUGUCCGCUAGCUCUCGGCGUUGUACUGAGACCGAAAAGCUCAGUUAUGGUGUCUGGGGGUGUGUGGGUGGGUUUAGUUGUGGAUACUUAGUGUUAAACCCAGUGGCGAGUCAGCGUCAGCUUGGGCUUCCAGAGAGAGGAUGGACGAAGAUGGGUUUGGCUCUCGGCCUCAUCUCUUAUAGACUCUGGCUGGCGCGGGAGCCCGGGCUGAGGUGAGGCGUCAGUAGUACUGCUUGCGCUCGAGACCACUCGCCAAGGAGUAACGAGAACUGCACGCAGACCUGCACGUGCAAGGACAGGGAGGUAGGACUAUGCAUACGGUUCCAGGGAUGCUGACGAAAUGGUCUUAAACGACCCGUCUUGAAACACGG